rnacentral:rRNA from 1 species
AUGGAAACCGCCGCGGCGCCCCGCGUCCAGGCGCUCGCCGACGCCGGCGUGCCCCACCUCCCGGCGCAGUACAUCCAGCCGCCCGACCUCCGCGCGGGCCCCUCCCCCGCCGCCUCCCUCUCCGUCCCCGUCCUGGACCUCUCGGACGCCGCCGCCGCAACAACCCACGCGGUCGGCCGCGCGUGCGCCGAGUGGGGCGCCUUCCACGUCGUCAACCACGGGGCCCCGGCGGGGCUGCUCGACGCGAUGCGGGCCGCCGGGCUGGCCUUCUUCCGCGCCCCCAUGGCGGAGAAGCUCCGGUUCGGCUGCGACCCGGCCAGGGGCGCCGCCGCCGAGGGGUACGGCAGCCGCAUGCUCGCCAAAGACGACUCCGUGCUCGACUGGCGCGACUACUUCGACCACCACACCCUCCCCGAGUCCCGCCGCGACCCCGCCCGGUGGCCCGACUUCGUCCCAGGAUACAGGGACACUGUUGUAAAAUACAGUGACAGCAUGAAAGUCCUUGCCCAAAGAUUGCUGUGCAUCAUCUCUGAAAGUCUGAACUUGCCACCCUCCUACCUGCAAGAAGCGGUGGGGGAAGCUUAUCAGAACAUCACCGUUAGCUACUAUUCCCCUUGUCCACAGCCAGAUCUUGCUCUCGGAUUGCAAUCUCAUUCUGACUUUGGCGCAAUAACACUUCUAAUACAAGAUGAUGUGGGUGGGCUCGAGGUAUUUAAGGAUGGGAUGUGGAUACCUGUGCAUCCUGUGCCUGGUGCAAUCCUUGUAAUUCUGUCUGACCAGACAGAGAUCAUAACCAACGGAAGAUACAAGAGCGCCGUGCAUCGAGCUGUGGUCAAUGCCGACCGUGCCCGCUUGUCAGUGGCGACGUUCUACGAUCCACCUAAAUCUCAGAAAAUAUGUACUGCCCCCCAGCUCGUGAGCAAGGACCAUCCGCAGAAGUAUCGGGAUGUGGUUUACGGCGACUAUGUCUCAUCCUGGUACAGCAAAGGUCCAGAGGGCAAGCGCAAUAUCGACGCCCUCCUGAUGGAGCAAUAG